CCAAAGAUGUGAAUUUUUAAUUGCUUAAUUUUAUUUAAAGAUUAAAUAAGUGUUUUUUGCUAUUUUAGAUCAAGAAUUGUCAAAUCCAAACCUAGAUCGGCAGAAAGCCAAGCAAAUUGACUAAAUCGGCUAGUCACCACAUUUUGUAAUCCGAGUGUCGCCUAACUAGCUCAAGGAUCACCAGAAGUCAGAGAUAUCGAUGACACUAUCAACCGAAGCUUUCGGUAUAGUUGGAUUUAUAUUUUUGAAUAUGACAUGUAUAGGACUUAGACUUUAUUAUUUUGUGUCUUUGAGAAUUGGCCAAAUGUGUUGGCUUGGGUUGGAAACCCUUCAAUUUGUAUUAAGUUUUGAAUAAUUGCUAACAUUCAUUUUGAAUUUAUAAAAGAUGCAUUAUUAUGGUUGAA